AUUGAACGCUGGCGGCAUGCCUUACACAUGCAAGUCGAACGGCAGCACGGGGCAACCUGGUGGCGAGUGGCGAGCGGGUGAGUAAUGCAUCGGAACGUACCUUUCAGUGGGGGAUAACGUAGCGAAAGUUACGCUAAUACCGCAUAUUCUGCGAGCAGGAAAGCAGGGGAUCGCAAGACCUUGCGCUGAUUGAGCGGCCGAUGUCAGAUUAGCUAGUUGGUGAGGUAAAGGCUCACCAAGGCGACGAUCUGUAGCGGGUCUGAGAGGAUGAUCCGCCACACUGGAACUGGGACACGGUCCAGACUCCUACGGGAGGCAGCAGUGGGGAAUUUUGGACAAUGGGGGCAACCCUGAUCCAGCCAUGCCGCGUGAGUGAAGAAGGCCUUCGGGUUGUAAAGCUCUUUCGGCCGGGAAGAAAUCGCACGGGCUAAUACCCUGUGUGGAUGACGGUACCGGAAUAAGAAGCACCGGCUAACUACGUGCCAGCAGCCGCCGUAACAC
rnacentral:rRNA from 1 species